UGUUCUUUAGUUUAAUAAAAAUUAUUUAUUUACAUUAAAUUAAUCAUCUUAUGAUGGAUGGGGAACUA
rnacentral:tRNA from 1 species